rnacentral:lncRNA from 1 species
ACCCUCUUGUCAUCGGGCCAGAAUGCAAAAUAAGGACUUGUCCCGUUUCCUGUUAACCUUAAUUCCUCCAGGGGAGAUUAGCUUUGGAGCUGCAGCAGAGCCUGUAGGGAGGAGAGGGUAUCUGAGUGCAGCUAAAAGCAAGGAGAGGCUGUGUCUAAGCGGUUGUUACAGCCAGUGCAAUUACAGUAAAUACAGAAAUAUUGCGCGAGAAAUGCCAGCAGCAGCCUAUCUUUUCCUCUCUCCUUUAAUGCAUGGCCAGUGUUUUCUUCUCGGUAGACACCCUGAAUUGCAGAAAUUAUUUCUUCUCUGGACAGAGUUGUUGGUCAGACAUCCUGCGCUCAGCCCCUCGAGGGGAGAGCGUGCCUGGGAAACUCCUUACUGGUCUUUUCCACUUGGCUGUGCAAUACGGACUGCAGUUUAA